AAGAGUUCUGUGAAAGACCUGUGUUUGAAGAAGAAAUCAGCGGUGAGAACCAGUAUGUGGCAGAGGAAAAAGAUUUGGCUUCAAGCUUUAUAUGAAAGGUGAUACUUCACUGGAAUAUUUUAUCAUCAAAAGGAAGCCUUUUAAACAUACCAGACCUGUUGCUGUUAUGCUAAAACCCUAGCGUUCAAAGGAGAGAGGAAAGGCAUGUGGUUGGGAGGAAAACAGGGUUGUUUUCUGCAUGAAUACAAUAAAUGCUCUAUUCCACUUGUUUUAUUAGUGAAACCAACUUCACAGGAAUGUAAAAUACCGUGAAGAAGCCACAAAACCACUACAACUAUCCCUUUCUGAACUACCUUCAGGAACAUUGUUUUGAAACUCUUAGCAGUGACCAGCUGGCUUCAGUAUCUAAACACUCAAUUUGCCUUCUGGACUGCUCUGUCGUAUUCAUUAGGACCUGGCCCCAGGGAACAUGAAGUUUAUUUGUCACCUUUUGUCUGGACAGAUGUGAAUUACUAGUUGUAAGCUGAACAUGAAGAUGUUCUAGUGUCUCAACCUGUUACAGUAGCAUACCUCCAGCAACCAUCAGGAUCUUCUUGAUCUUGUCUGAGACACCAUGGCCAAGAGAAUGCCUAUUAAAAAUAAGAGUAAAACUCAGAAGAGAGAAGAACCUUCUUUAAAGUAAACUGAAACAAUCAAGCUGCUGCAGAGCCAGAGUGUAUUUUAGAAAUACUGAAAAAUCUUAGAAAUACUGAAAAAUCUUCCUCUUUCAAACAGCCUUUCCUCUAUACACAAAUAUUAGCCUUUCCUUUUACUUGAGGGACCCUUCCAAGCCACUAACUAAAGGGUUAAAAACAAACAAACCAACCCAAAACCCAUAACCUUAAGGAAAAGAAAAUAUCACAAGCAGACUUUACAACAGAAAUUACAUAUAUUCCUUAAAACAGAGUAAUGUUGUUCUCAAAGGCUCACUGAAGACAGGGUGAGUUUCUUAAUUAAUACUGAGUUAUUACCUUGAUUUCAUAAUGCAUGCUUUGUACUUCAUCUAUACAAACUUAUGUGAGAUCUCUGACUAAUUUGGCCAGCUAUAAUAGAUCAGUGAGAGAGAAUGACUGCUAGUUACAACAGAUCUUGAGAUGUGUGAGUACUUUUUAAAAAAGAAAGGUGUCUUGUGAAUGACUGAAUAUUUAUUUCUGCAAUUUCACCGACAAACUGAAGGAACAAGACUUCUUUGUCUGUGCUAGCAGCAAUGUGAUUUAUUCACAUGCCAGGGCUGCCUAUCUGUUGGCAGUAAAUGCGAUGUCAGGCAGCAUUAUUUAGUACUGCAAUAAAAGUCCAAAGAUUAAUAUCUU